rnacentral:rRNA from 1 species
UACGUAGGGUGCGAGCGUUAAUCGGAAUUACUGGGCGUAAAGCGUGCGUAGGCGGUUCUCCAAGUCCGUUGUGAAAGCCCCGGGCUCAACCCGGGAAGUGCACUCGAAACUGGGAGGCUAGAGUAUCGGAGAGGUUGGUGGAAUUCUCGGUGUAGAGGUGAAAUUCGUAGAUAUCGAGAGGAACACCGGUGGCGAAGGCGGCCAACUGGACGAAUACUGACGCUGAGACUCGAAAGCGUGGGGAGCAAACAGG